GACGAACGCUGGCGGCGCGCCUAACACAUGCAAGUCGAACGGAGCUGCGAGAAGCUUGCUUUUCUUAGCUUAGUGGCGAACGGGUGGGUAACGCGUGAGUAACCUGCCCUGGAGUGGGGGACAACAGUUGGAAACGACUGCUAAUACCGCAUAAGCCCACGAUCCGGCAUCGGAUUGAGGGAAAAGGAUUUAUUCGCUUCAGGAUGGACUCGCGUCCAAUUAGCUAGUUGGUGAGGUAACGGCCCACCAAGGCGACGAUUGGUAGCCGGACUGAGAGGUUGAACGGCCACAUUGGGACUGAGACACGGCCCAGACUCCUACGGGAGGCAGCAGUGGGGGAUAUUGCACAAUGGGGGAAACCCUGAUGCAGCGACGCCGCGUGGAGGAAGAAGGUUUUCGGAUUGUAAACUCCUGUCGUUAGGGACGAUAAUGACGGUACCUAACAAGAAAGCACCGGCUAACUACGUG
rnacentral:rRNA from 1 species